GAAAAGAACCAACAGGGAUUGCCCCAGUAACGGCGAGUGAAGCGGCAACAGCUCAAAUUUGAAAUCUGGCCCCCAGGGCCCGAGUUGUAAUUUGUAGAGGAUGCUUUUGGCAAGGUGCCUUCCGAGUUCCCUGGAACGGGACGCCAUAGAGGGUGAGAGCCCCGUCUGGUCGGACACCGCGCCUCUGUAAAGCUCCUUCGACGAGUCGAGUAGUUUGGGAAUGCUGCUCAAAAUGGGAGGUAUAUGUCUUCUAAAGCUAAAUAUUGGCCAGAGACCGAUAGCGCACAAGUAGAGUGAUCGAAAGAUGAAAAGCACUUUGAAAAGAGGGUUAAAAAGUACGUGAAAUUGUUGAAAGGGAAGCGCCUAUGACCAGACUUGGGCCCGGUGAAUCAUCCAGCGUUCUCGCUGGUGCACUUUGCCGGGCACAGGCCAGCAUCAGUUUGGCGCGGGGGACAAAGGCGUUGGGAAUGUGGCUCCCCCGGGAGUGUUAUAGCCCAUCGCGCAAUACCCUGCGCCGGACUGAGGUACGCGCAUCGCAAGGAUGCUGGCGUAAUGGUCAUCAGCGACCCGUCUUGAAACACGGACCAAGGAGUCGUCUUCGUAUGCGAGUGUUCGGGUGUCAAACCCCUACGCGUAAUGAAAGUGAACGCAGGUGAGAGCUUCGGCGCAUCAUCGACCGAUCCUGAUGUUCUCGGAUGGAUUUGAGUAAGAGCAUACGGGGCCGGACCCGAAAGAAGGUGAACUAUGCCUGUAUAGGGUGAAGCCAGAGGAAACUCUGGUGGAGGCUCGCAGCGGUUCUGACGUGCGAAUCGAUCGUCAAAUAUGGGCAUGGGGGC
rnacentral:rRNA from 1 species